GGGGAUUCCUUUAGGACUUCAUGGCCUAACUCCUCCCUGGUCUCACAUGAUGCUUCUUCCCACAGGAGGACAAGGAGGAAGCUACACUCAGGCUGCCGGCAGCAACAGUUCCCAGGGUUCUGAUGUGUCUCUCAGCCCCUAAAGGUUCACCCUCCAUGUGCAGCAGGAAGAGGAUCUCAGAUAAACCCAGGCUGGUUCCCCCACCUCCUCCCUCCCUUCCUCACCGCUGUGCUCAGGAUGACUGUCCUGGUCCACACAGAAGAGGAGGCAGAAAAAGAGUGUUGUUACCACAUUAGCUACCAGGACUGGAGAGGCCAUGUCCUUUGGCUGGGAGCAACACCAGGAAAAUCUGGGAGCAGUUUCAGCAGUAGGAACAAGCACCAGGACCCCGAGGUGAAACUCCUGGUGAGCUAAAGAGCAUGAGUCACACCUGGGCCUUAACCUGAGGAGAUUUCUCCUCCUCCCUGAGUGAUGGACCCUGGGGAGCUGGUGGGCACCUCCCUCCCCACUCUAUGGAAAGUUCUCGUGCUGGAUCCCCACAGGCCCAGGAGAGAGGAGCCUCCUGAGACCCGAGUGUCCCUCAGAGUCGUUCUGAGAGUCUACAGGGAAAUAAUGCAAUGAUCUUCAGAA